UUACAUCCCACCUAGCUCAACUAAUCUCACCAACCACCCAACCUCACAAACAAACCAUUAUUACACAACCAGUAGCCCGAACUAUGCGAUCGAAAAUUUAACCUUGAAGCUAUAGAGACAGUACCGCAAGGGAAAAGUGAAAUAACAUUGCCCGCAUACGUACAAAAAAGCAGAGACUAACCCACGUACCUUUUGCAUCAUGAUUUAGCAAGAAUGCCCGACCAAAGUGACUUCCAGCCCGCCCACCCGAAAUCAAGUGAGCUACUUCCCGGCAGUCUAAUAGGACCAAACCCACCUCUGUUGCAAAAGAGGGGGCAGACCCAGAAGUAGAGGUGAAAAGCCAAACGAACUUGAUGAUAGCUGGUUGCCUGAUAAAUGAAUCUCAGUUCACCCUUUAGCACCAACCCGCAAACAAAAUAGCACUACCUGCAACUAAAGGCAUAUUCAAUGAUGGAACACCACCAUUGAAACAGGGUACAACCUGAAUCAGAGAGACACUUAAACCCACGCCCCCCGUAGGCCCCAAAACAGCCACCAAAAACAAAAACGUUACAGUAUCUACAAUAAAAAUCCCACUAACUACCCCAAACUCCUGCAAACCAUCAGGCCACUCUAUACAAUUAUAGAGGAACUCAUGCUAAAACAAGUAACAAGAAACCUUCUCUGAGCACAUCUUUAAGUCAACAUAAAACACCCACUGACAAUCAACAGACUAACAACUUAAUCACACACCCCCCUGUUAACCCGACACAGGAGUGCAACCAAGAAAGAUUAAAAGUUAAAAAAGGAACUCGGCAAACCAACUAUUCCGACUGUUUACCAAAAACAUAGCCUCUGGCAUACACAGUAUCAGAGGUAACGCCUGCCCAGUGAUUAUUUUUAACGGCCGCGGUAUCCUAACCGUGCAAAGGUAGCGCAAUCACUUGUCCCCUAAAUAGUGACUAGUAUGAACGGCCACACGAGAAUAAACCUGUCUCUUUUAACAAAUCAGUGAAACUGAUCUCCCAGUACAAAAGCUGGGACACCAACAUAAGACGAAAAAACCCUGUGGAGCUUAAAUACUACCCUACCCCCCCCCUAGUUUAAGUAUUUCAGUUGGGGCAACUUCGGAAUCAAACUAAACUUCCGACCAAACUCCGGAAACACCGCUAUCAUAGACUAACACGUCAAACCCUUGAAUAAGACCCAGUAAUUCACUGACCAACGAACCAAGUUACCCCAGGGAUAACAGCGCCAUCUUCUUCUAGAGCCCCCAUCGACAAGAAGGUUUACGACCUCGAUGUUGGAUCAGGGCACCCCAAUAGCGCAGCCGCUAUUAAAGGUUCGUUUGUUCAACGAUUAAUAGCCCUACGUGAUCUGAGUUCAAACCGGAGCAAUCCAGGUCGGUUUCUAUCUAUGUACUAUUUUUUUCAGUACGAAAGGACCAAGAAAAUGAGACCCAUACUCCUAGCAAGUCUCAACCCGGCUGAAACAAUGUCAAGCCCUCAGUGCCACUCAGCCCAAAAACAGGGCC
rnacentral:rRNA from 1 species